rfam:Fusobacterium varium ATCC 27725 genomic scaffold supercont2.9, whole genome shotgun sequence.
ACAGUACAGACUGAUCAGGUCAUAAGACCGGGCUGUUAAAAAAACAGCAGCAGAUGAAAUUAACAGCAUCUGUGGGACAAGUG